GGGGUGGGCUCGGCGUAUAGCUCCCAACCAUUGUGACCUACCACUGUUGCUUCGGCGGCCUCGCCCCGGGCGCGUUCGCGCGGCCCGGACCCAGGCGUCCGCCGGAGGCUCCAAACUCUUGUCUUUUAGUGUAUUUCUGAGUGGCAUAAGCAAAAAAAUCAAAACUUUCAGCAACGGAUCUCUUGGUUCUGGCAUCGAUGAAGAACGCAGCAAAAUGCGAUAAGUAAUGUGAAUUGCAGAAUUCAGUGAACCAUCGAAUCUUUGAACGCACAUUGCGCCCGCCAGUAUUCUGGCGGGCAUCCCUGUCUGAGCGUCAUUUCAACCCUCAGGACCCGUUCGCGGGACCUGGCGUUGGGGAUCAGCCUGCCCCUGGCGGCGGCUGGCCCUGAAAUCCAGUGGCGGUUCCCUCGCGAACUCCUCCGUGCAGUAAUUAAACCUCUCGCGGCAGGAUAGCGGUUGAACCACCCCGUUAAACCCCCCACUCCCUCAAGGUUGACCUCAGAUCAGGUAGGAAUACCCGCUGAACUUAAGCAUAUCAAUAAGCGGAGGAAUAC
rnacentral:rRNA from 1 species